ACCAAGGUUCGACUCGAGUGCCAGCGAGAGAGCGUUGCCGCAGGCAACGACCCGUAGGGCGAAGCGCGCAGCGCUGAGUAAUCCUUCCCCCACCACCA
rnacentral:sRNA from 2 species